CCUACGGGGGGCAGCAGUGAGGAAUAUUGGUCAAUGGACGAGAGUCUGAACCAGCCAAGUAGCGUGAAGGAUGACUGCUCUAUGGGUUGUAAACUUCUUUUAUAUGGGAAUAAAAUGUUCCACGUGUGGGAUUUUGUAUGUACCAUAUGAAUAAGGAUCGGCUAACUCCGUGCCAGCAGCCGCGGUAAUACGGAGGAUCCGAACGUUAUCCGGAUUGAUUGGGUUUAAAGGGAGCGUAGGUGGAUUGUUAAGUCAGUUGUGAAAGUUUGCGGCUCAACCGUAAAAUUGCAGUUGAAACUGGCAGUCUUGAGUACAGUAGAGGUGGGCGGAAUUCGUGGUGUAGCGGUGAAAUGCUUAGAUAUCACGAAGAACUCCGAUUGCGAAGGCAGCUCACUGGACUGCAACUGACACUGAGGCUCGAAAGUGUGGGUAUCAAACAGGAUUAGAUACCCUAGUAGUC
rnacentral:rRNA from 1 species